UACGAAGGGGGCAAGCGUUGUUCGGAAUUACUGGGCGUAAAGGGCGCGUAAGCGGCUUAUCAAGUCAGGCGUGAAAUUCCCGGGCUCAACCUGGGGGCUGCGCUUGAUACUGAUGAGCUUGAAUGCGGGAGAGGAUAGUGGAAUUCCCAGUGUAGAGGUGAAAUUCGUAGAUAUUGGGAAGAACACCGGUGGCGAAGGCGGCUAUCUGGCCCGUAAUUGACGCUGAGGCGCGAAAGCGUGGGGAGCAAACAGG
rnacentral:rRNA from 1 species